GACGAACGCUGGCGGCGUGCUUAACACAUGCAAGUCGAACGGAAAGGCCCUGCUUUUGUGGGGUGCUCGAGUGGCGAACGGGUGAGUAACACGUGAGUAACCUGCCCUUGACUUUGGGAUAACUUCAGGAAACUGGGGCUAAUACCGGAUAGGAGCUCCUGCUGCAUGGUGGGGGUUGGAAAGUUUCGGCGGUUGGGGAUGGACUCGCGGCUUAUCAGCUUGUUGGUGGGGUAGUGGCUUACCAAGGCUUUGACGGGUAGCCGGCCUGAGAGGGUGACCGGCCACAUUGGGACUGAGAUACGGCCCAGACUCCUACGGGAGGCAGCAGUGGGGAAUAUUGCACAAUGGGCGGAAGCCUGAUGCAGCAACGCCGCGUGCGGGAUGACGGCCUUCCGGUUGUAAACCGCUUUCGCCUGUGACGAAGCGUGAGUGACGGUAAUGGGUAAAGAAGCACCGGCUAACUACGUG
rnacentral:rRNA from 1 species